AGAGUUUGAUCCUGGCUCAGAAUGAACGUUGGCGGCGUGGAUUAGGCAUGCAAGUCGAAUGAGUCUCUGGGGGGUAACUCCUAGAGGAAAGUGGCGAAAGGGGCAGUAAUGUAUGGGUAACCUACCUUGAGGUCUGGGAUAGCUAUUCUAACGGAUAGGUAAUACUGGACGGCCUAAGUUGUCGGCAUCGACGAUUUAGUAAAGGUUACGCCUCGAGAGGGGCCCAUAUGAUAUUAGCUAGUUGGUGGGGUAAUGGCCCACCAAGGCAAAGAUGUCUAGCGGGUGUGAGAGCACGACCCGCGUCAUUGGCACUGAGACACUGGCCAAACUCCUACGGGAGGCUGCAGUCGAGGAUCUUCGGCAAUGGACGAAAGUCUGACCGAGCAACGCCGCGUGUGCGAUGAAGGCCUUCGGGUUGUAAAGCACUGUCGAGGGGAAACAAGCCGUAAGGUUGAGUGACCCCUGGAGGAAGCACGGGCUAAGUUCGUGCCAGCAGCCGCGGUAAGACGAACCGUGCAAACGUUAUUCGGAAUCACUGGGCUUAAAGGGCGCGUAGGCGGGUGAUCAAGUCAAUGGUGAAAUCCUCCAGCUUAACUGGAGAAGUGCCUUUGAUACUGGUUGUCUAGAGGGAGGUAGGGGCAUGUGGAACUUCAGGUGGAGCGGUGAAAUGCGUAGAUAUCUGAAGGAACGCCAGUGGCGAAAGCGACGUGCUGGACCUCUUCUGACGCUGAGGCGCGAAAGCUAGGGGAUCAAACGGGAUUAGAUACCCUGGUAGUCC
rnacentral:rRNA from 1 species